rnacentral:tRNA from 1 species
GGCCCCAUAGGAUAACGGCUAGUCCGUCGGAUUCUCAGUCCGAAGGUCGGGGUUCGAUUCCCCGUGGGGCUGCCA